CACGUAGGGCGCAAGCGUUGUCCGGAAUCACUGGGCGUAAAGCGCACGUAGGCGGAUGUGUCAGUCAGGGGUGAAAUCCCGGAGCUCAACUUCGGAACUGCCUUUGAUACAGCACGUCUUGAGUCCGAUAGAGGUGGGUGGAAGUUCCUAGUGUAGAGGUGAAAUUCGUAGAUAUCGGGAGGAACACCGGUGGCGAAGGCGGCGAUCUGGGUAGAUACUGACGCUGAGGUGCGAAAGCGUGGGGAGCAAACAGG
rnacentral:rRNA from 1 species